UGUAUGGAAUAUCUAAAUUCUAGUAUGAGAAAUUAAUGAUUUAAGUCCUUCUUAAAUGAGGCCAUUUACCCAUAGAGGGUGCCAGGCCCGUAUAACAUUAAUGAUUACUAGAAGAUAUUUCCAAAGAGUCGUGUUGCUUGAUAGUGCAGCACUAAGUGGGUGGUAAACUCCAUCUAAAACUAAAUAUAACCAUGAGACCGAUAGUAAACAAGUACCGUGAGGGAAAGUUGAAAAGAACUCUGAAUAGAGAGUUAAAUAGUACGUGAAACUGCUUAGAGGUUAAACCCGAUGAACCUGAAUAUCCAAUAUAGAGAAUUCAUCAUUAUGACAAUAAUAUAUAUUAUGGUAAUAGUGUGCAUUUUCUCUAUAUACGGACAUUGUAAUCUAUUAAUAUAUAAAUAAACUUAUCAUAAGAUCAAUUACUUAUGAUUAUUUUUUAUAAAUUGUUUCGGCUUUCUAUGAAAAUAAUUGUAAUUGAUUUGAUAAGGUAUUGAUAGAUUAAAACAUUUGUAUAAUGCAAAAAUUCAUUUAUGAAUUUUAUAAUAUAGCAAUAUAUUAUAGGCAUUUAUACGAUUUACAAUGCGAAAGAUUCAGGAUACCUUCGGGACCCGUCUUGAAACACGGACCAAGGAGUCUAACAUAUGUGCAAGUUAUUGGGAUUUUAUAUAAAACCCAAUAGCAAAAUUAACAUAACUUAUUUAUGGGAUUAGUUUUUAUAUUUAAUAAAAUAUAUUAACUCAAUCCCAGGGCGUUCUAUAUAGUUAUGUAUAAUAGCAUUUAUGUUAUUUAUACCUCUAACUAGAGCGUACCUUGAGCAUAUAUGCUGUGACCCGAAAGAUGGUGAACUAUACUUGAUCAGGUUGAAGUCAGGGGAAACCCUGAUGGAAGAC
rnacentral:rRNA from 1 species